AGGUGGCAGGGGAGCCAAAUCCCCAAGAGCUAAGCAGAAGGGCCCGCGAGCCCACCAGGACACCGCGUGAGCAACGCAGAAGAGCCCGCGAGCCCACCAGCAGCACCAGGACACCGCGUGAGCAACGCAGUAGGGCCCGCGAGCCCACCAGCAGCACCAGGACACCGCGUGAGCAACGCAGAAGGGCCCGCGAGCCCACCAGCAGCACCAGGACACCGCGUGAGCAACGCAGAAGGGCCCGCGAGCCCACCAGCAGCACCAGGACACCGCGUGAGCAACGCAGAAGAGCCCGCGAGCGCCCAGAACACUAGCAACGGUCAUUUCUCCUGUGUUGGCCACCGGGGUCAGUCGACUCUUGGCGGCAGCAGGCGGAUCUUUUGGCAAGCACUCUUAGGGCUGGACGCCUUCGCCUCCAGCUAUCCAGCUAAUAGCAGAAGUGACUACGAAGUGUCUGGAGCCCCCUCCAGGCACCGACUUUACCCCGCAGCCAGUAUAAGCUAAGAGGUGGCAGAGGAACCUCCUCAAGGAGAGCUAAGCAGAAGGGCCCAGGAGCCCACCAGCAGCUCCAGGACAUCGCGUGAGCAAAGCUGGAUGCGCGCGCCCACCUGCAGCACCAGAACACCGCGUGAGCAAAACAGGAGGGCCCGUGAGCUCUCGAGGGCAACAGCAACGGUCAGUUCCCCUAUACUGGCCACCCGCUCAGUCGACUCUUGCCGGCAGCAGGUGGAUCUUCAGUCGCAGCCCUGGCUAGCACUCAUACAGCUGGACUCCUUAGCCUCCAGCUAUACAGUUAUUAGUAAACUGACUACAAGGUGCCUGGGGAAGACUCCAGGCAGUUACUUUAUCCCGCAGCCUUUACAAGCUAAGAGGUGGGCUUCCUAGAGUGGCGGUGGGUGCUGGGACAGAGCCCCUCAGGAGAGGAAGAGUAGCAGUGGGUACAGACUCUCACAGGAAGGCAGGGGGCGGAGUAAGGGAGUUUGAGGGAAGGAGCAGGGAGCAGCAGGAACACCGGUUGUCUUAGGACCCACUAAACUAAUGGAUCUCCCUGGGUAUCUAGUGGAAUAGAACUUUAAAACGGCUGGAGGGAAGACGCUGCGGUAGGAAGGGGGACUCUGCUUGUCCGGCAGGAAGCGGUUCUCCAGGAAAGGGGAGAGAAAAAUAAUUGCUGAAACCUUUGGCUCUACAUCUAGGUGGCAGAGGAGCCUCCUAAAGGAGCACCCAGAACACCAGCCGCGGUCACUUCCUCUGUUUUGGCCACUGGCUCACUGGUCUCUUAGCCUCGGCAAGCUGAUCUUCCAGGCUCACCUCUGGUGAGCACUCCUUGUGCUGGACGCCUUCCUACCAGCUAUCCAGCUAUUAGGAGAAGGGACUACAAGGUGCCUGUAGCCCCCUCCAGCACACACUAUCCUCUGCCAGCCAGUACAAGGCGGCAGAGGAGCCUCCUUCGGGAGAGCUAAGCAGAAGGGUCUGUGAGCCCAGAAGCAAACAGUUCCAGGACACCGCGUGAGCAAAGCCGGACCCGCGCGCCCACCAGCAGCACCGGGACACCGCGUGACCAACGCAGAAGGACCAGAGAGCGCCCAGAACACCAGCUGCAAUCACUUCCUCUGUAUUGGCCACCCCCUCGGGGGUCUCUUAGCCUGGGCGGCGGAUCUUCCAGGCUCACCACUGGUGGCUGAGGAGCCUCCUUCAGGAGAGCUAAGCGGAAGGGUCCGCGAGCCCACCAGCAGCACCGGAACACCGCGUGGCCAAAGCAGAAGGACCUGGGAGCGCCCAGAACACCAGCCGCGGUCACCUCCUCUGUAUUGGCCACCUGCUCAGUGGGCUCUUAGGGUGCGCAGGCCCGUCUUCAAGGCUCACCUCUGGUGAGCACUCCUUGUGCUGGACGCCUUCCUACCAGCUAUCCAGCUAUUAGGAGAAGGGACUACAAGGUGCCUGUAGCCCCCUCCAGCACACACUAUCCUCUGCCAGCCAGUACAAGGCGGCAGAGGAGCCUCCUUCGGGAGAGCUAAGCAGAAGGGUCUGUGAGCCCAGAAGCAAACAGUUCCAGGACACCGCGUGAGCAAAGCCGGACCCGCGCGCCCACC
rnacentral:sRNA from 1 species